CCUACGGGAGCCAGCAGUGGGGAAUAUUGCACAAUGGGGGAAACCCUGAUGCAGCAACGCCGCGUGAGUGAAGAAGUAUUUCGGUAUGUAAAGCUCUAUCAGCAGGGAAGAAGAAAGACGGUACCUGACUAAGAAGCCCCGGCUAACUACGUGCCAGAAGCCGCGGUAAUACGUGUGGGGCAAGCGUUAUCCGGAUUUAUUGGGUUUAAAGGGUUGGAAGGCGGCGAGUUAAGUCAGCGGUAAAAUUUCGGAGGUAACACCCGACAAGCCGGUGAAACUGGCUUGCGAGAGUGGGCGAGAAGUAUGCGGAAUGCGUGGUGUAGCGGUGAAAUGCAUAGAUAUCACGCAGAACUCCGAUUGCGAAGGCAGCAUACCGGCGCCCAACUGACGCUCAGGCACGAAAGCGUGGGUAUCGAACAGGAUUAGAUACCCGGGUAGUC
rnacentral:rRNA from 1 species